rnacentral:ncRNA from 1 species
CGCUCUGGAGAAUCCCGUUAACGGGUGCCGAAGGUGUAAGCGGUCUUCCGUGAUCUCUCAGGCAAAAGGACAGAGC